UACGGAGGGUGCAAGCGUUAUCCGGAUUUACUGGGUUUAAAGGGUGUGUAGGCGGGCUUUUAAGUCAGUGGUGAAAUCUCCGGGCUCAACCUGGAAACUGCCAUUGAUACUAUUAGUCUUGAAUUCUGUUGAGGUUGGCGGAAUAAGUCAUGUAGCGGUGAAAUGCAUAGAUAUGACUUAGAACACCGAUUGCGAAGGCAGCUAACUAAGCAGAUAUUGACGCUGAGGCACGAAAGCGUGGGGAGCAAACAGG
rnacentral:rRNA from 1 species